ACGUUGAAACAUUGGUUCCCAUACGAUCACCAAAGUUAAGCAACUCCGAGCCUUGUCAGUACCUAUAUGAGUGACCGCUUGGGAACAACAUGUGCU